GGAUUAUUGUGACGUUUUCAUCUGCUGUUUGGACUCUCAUUCUGACGGCACCCAUUCACUGAUGUGAUGCUAAAUUAUUCCAAAUCUUUUUUGAUGAAAAAACUACAUCUUGGAUUGCCUGAGAGAAAACUGCAUCCUGUUGAUUCCUGUUACCUUUGGUCCUUGUAUGCCCUCUCCUGGCAAUCCUGGAGGACCAGCUGGACCAGUCUGGCCAAUGGAGCCCUGCACACCACAAAAACACUUCUGAGCACACCUGAACAGGUUUCUGCAAAGAUGUCAAUCUUACCUUCGGCCCUGCAAUGCCUAUCCCUGGUUCUCCAACAGGACCUUGUGGACCGACCGGCCCUGGAUCUCCCUACAGGAAGA